GACGAACGCUGGCGGCGUGCUUAACACAUGCAAGUCGAGCGGUAAGGCCCUUUCGGGGGUACACGAGCGGCGGACGGGUGAGUAACACGUGGGUGACCUGCCCUCAGCUCUGGGAUAAGCCUGGGAAACCGGGUCUAAUACCGGAUAUGACUCCAUGACGCAUGUUGUGGGGUGGAAAGCCUUGUGCGGCUGAGGAUGGGCCCGCGGCCUAUCAGCUUGUUGGUGGGGUGAUGGCCUACCAAGGCGACGACGGGUAGCCGGCCUGAGAGGGCGACCGGCCACACUGGGACUGAGACACGGCCCAGACUCCUACGGGAGGCAGCAGUGGGGAAUCUUGCGCAAUGGGCGAAAGCCUGACGCAGCGACGCCGCGUGAGGGAUGACGGCCU
rnacentral:rRNA from 1 species